UACGGGGGGAGCAAGCGUUGUUCGGAUUUACUGGGCGUAAAGGGCGCGUAGGCGGCCAGCACAAGUCAGUUGUGAAAUCUCCGAGCUUAACUCGGAAAGGUCAACUGAUACUGUGCGGCUAGAGUGCGGAAGGGGCAACUGGAAUUCUUGGUGUAGCGGUGAAAUGCGUAGAUAUCAAGAGGAACACCUGCGGCGAAGGCGGGUUGCUGGGCCGACACUGACGCUGAGGCGCGGAAAGCCAGGGGAGCGAACGGG
rnacentral:rRNA from 1 species